rnacentral:rRNA from 1 species
GACGAACGCUGGCGGCGUGCCUAAUACAUGUAAGUCGAACGCUUUGAUUUUCACCGGAGCUUGCUCCACCGAAAAUCAAAGAGUGGCGGACGGGUGAGUAACACGUGGGCAACCUGCCCAACAGAGGGGGAUAACACUUGGAAACAGGUGCUAAUACCGCAUAAUUUGUUUUUCCGCAUGGAAGAAUAAUAAAAGACGCUUCGGUGUCACUGUUGGAUGGGCCCGCGCUGCAUUAGUUAGUUGGUGGGGUAACGGCCUACCAAGACCAUGAUGCAUAGCCGACCUGAGAGGGUGAUCGGCCACACUGGGACUGAGACACGGCCCAGACUCCUACGGGAGGCAGCAGUAGGGAAUCUUCGGCAAUGGACGAAAGUCUGACCGAGCAACGCCGCGUGAGUGAAGAAGGUUUUCGGAUCGUAAAACUCUGUUGUUAGAGAAGAACAAGUGAGAGAGUUACUGUUCUCACCUUGACGGUAUCUAACCAGAAAGCCACGGCUAACUACGUGCCAGCAGCCGCGGUAAUACGUAGGUGGCAAGCGUUGUCCGGAUUUAUUGGGCGUAAAGCGAGCGCAGGCGGUUUCUUAAGUCUGAUGUGAAAGCCCUCGGCUCAACCGAGGAAGGUCAUUGGAAACUGGGGAACUUGAGUGCAGAAGAGGAGAGUGGAAUUCCAUGUGUAGCGGUGAAAUGCGUAGAUAUAUGGAGGAACACCAGUGGCGAAGGCGACUCUCUGGUCUGUAACUGACGCUGAGGCUCGAAAGCGUGGGGAGCAAACAGG